GAUCGCAGAUCUGAAGAAGUUUCUUCAAAAUGGCAAAUAAGGUGAUUUAUGCAGAGCUAUCACCUGAGGAAAGAGUGCAUUAUACUUCACAAACUGCAAAUGCAGGUGAACAGAUAACCUACGCUGAGGUGAAAAGGAGGCGGAGAUCUGACACACCAGAAAGUGCACCAAAGACUACACAUCAAAAAGCCUGCUCCGAGAAUGCGCAAUGGUGUUACAUUGCCAUCAUCUUGUACUUCUUCGCACUGAUUCUAUUCAUCACUGUGAUUCUCUUAGCAGUGAAAUGUUAGCCCUGAGACAGAUGAUGUGGUUCUGCUGACAAAUGGGGAAAGCCAGGUCGGAAAGGCUCUGCUUCUUCUAUAAAACAAGACAAAAUGUUUACUAUUAUGUUAUUUCUUCUGCAUAGGCUUCUAUGGAAGAUGACAUGCCAACAGUCUGGCCACUCUUCAGUUACUUCUUCCAGGAUUUUCAUUAAACCUUUAACCUCUCUGAUUAUGGGAAAAAAUAUGUUAUUGAUGUAAUAAUACCAGCAACCACCAUAUGGUAUAGUGCAUGUAACAAGGCACUAGCUCAAGCUACUGCAUCAUAAGUUGGAUCUAAGUCUUGUCUACACAACAUAAAUGACCAGGAGGACCCAUUUGAAACAUCACUUUUAUUUCACACGACUUGAUUUUACAGUAAUCUGACGUGUAGAUAAGCUUUUAGAUUUGGAUAUGAUCAAGUGCAAAAAUGCAUGGAUAAAAUACAGAAUGUGAAUGGUUGCACUAAAAUUUUUUUAUGAGAUACACACAUGUACACGAUUUUUGUCUUUUGGUGGGAUCUAUAGGAGUGGGGUACUGAAGAUGAAGGGACUUCAUUAGUUCAUCAAAGAAGUCUCACUCUCAUUCCCCCACUGGCAUGAAUAAAAUUAUUCUGUUCUGCUUGUCCAGAGAAGUAUCUCACAGAGUCACAGUACGUUGGUUCCAUCUUGGAGCAGUAAUUCAUCUUUUGUUUCCAUUUUUUUUCCACAAUGCAGUAGCUUCAGUUAAGUCAGAGUCCUUCACUAGAACUAAACCACCUCAGAUUCAAAUGAAUUUGUUUGUAAUUAUUAUUUUAACAAAAUAAUUUUUGUUACAAUUUUUAGUUUAACAAAAUCAUUAUUUUGAAUUCUCAUCCAUUAUAAUUCCUCUGAGACAUGCUGAUAUCAAUGAUUUGCAGUUCCUGAGUAGAAGGGACUAUAUAGUAUAGCACAUAUUUGUAGAAUUGUUCCCUAUACAUAAGCUUAUCUGUACUUAGGCCAUGUUGUUGCUGUUGAUAUGUUUCUAUGUUCUUAUAAUAUAUUUGCCAGAAAUGAGUAAAGAAAUUUAGUAAAGUACUUGACAUGCUCGUGUUUGUUCCUACAGUAGUCAGACAUUUAGCAAGUGUAUGACUGCAGUGCUUCUGAGCUGUUGUCACGAAGCAAGGUGCUGAUCUGACAAGUACUGUCUAAAGAAAGAAUCCCUGCCUCACUGUGCAAAGCAUCAAAUGACCAGUAGAAGAAAAUGUUAUGUUUUUCUUUAGAUUAUUCUUUCAAUUGCCAGGUGCUGAGGGAUAAAUCCAAAUCCAGAAAAAUGUAAAACAGAAAGAUAAAAAAAGAAAUGGUGGCAGGAGACAUUUGGACAUGAAAUGGACCUGCAUAUUGUUGUCCUUCACUGCACUUAUCCGACUUUAGCUGGAAGAUUCUUUCACAUAAUACGCUCAAAUAGCCCCUACAACUAAAUCAAAUUUCCAGACUAAAUUAAUUAGUUCCAACUUUCUUAAGAUGCAAGAAAUCUUCCACAGUCUUCAAGAGCUACAGUAAUGUAGUUUUGCAUAUAUAUAACAUGUACAAUCAUAGCAGAUAAAGAAAGAAACAGCAUCAGAAAUCAUAGUUCAUGUCAUUCGAGCCCUACCAAAGACAAGUUCAUCAUUUCAGAAUGAAGUAGCUUCACAGGAAACUGAAUGCACAGAUGCUAAGUAUGCAAGCACAGAAAAGGGAUAUGCAUUUCAGAACCAAUUAGAAACCAUCACUUAUUAUAAGCCAACACGAAAUUGCGCAAAUAACCAGAUCUCUAGUUGCUACAAGCAGAUCUCUGGGAAUUUCAGAGGCAGAUCCUACCAUCUGAGAGGUACACUGCAUAGGCAACUGAGUAAGAAGCAUGCGUAUGAUGCUCUGUAUGUUGCUCUGUAACUCUGAAGGAGAUAAAGUAGUUUGUUUAAACUGAGAAGU
rnacentral:lncRNA from 7 species